rnacentral:sRNA from 1 species
GUUCGGGCUGUGGUGAAGUGUGUGGUGUGUCGUGAAGUGUGUGGAUCUGCUGUGAAGUGUGUGGUUCUGUCGUGAAGUGUGUGGAUCUUCUGUGAAGUGUGUGGAUCUGUCGGGAAGUGUGUAGAUCUGUUGUGAAGUGUGUGGAUCUGCUGUGAAGUGUGUGAUUCUGUCGUGAAGUGUGUUGAUCUACUGUGAAGUGAGUUGAUCUGUUGUGAAGUGUGUAUCUGUCGUUAGUGAGUGGAUCUGGUGUGAAGUGUGUAUCUGUCGUGAAGUGAAUGGAUCUGUUGUGAAGUGAGUGGAUCUGUUGUGAAGUGUGUAUCUGUCGUUAGUGGGUGGAUCUGUUGUGAAGUGAAAGAAUCUGUUGAGAAGUGAGUGGAUCUGUUGUAAAGUGAGUGGAUCUGUUGUCAAGUGAGUGGAUCUGUUGUCAAGUGAGUUGAUCUGUUGUGAAGUGAGUGGAUCUGUCGUGAAGUGUGAGGAUCUGGCGUGAAGUGAAUGGCUCUGUUGUGCAGUGAGUGGACUCUGUUGU